rnacentral:rRNA from 2 species
AUGCUAAUACCGCAUAACAACUUGGACCGCAUGGUCCGAGUUUGAAAGAUGGCUUCGGCUAUCACUUUUGGAUGGUCCCGCGGCGUAUUAGCUAGAUGGUGGGGUAACGGCUCACCAUGGCAAUGAUACGUAGCCGACCUGAGAGGGUAAUCGGCCACAUUGGGACUGAGACACGGCCCAAACUCCUACGGGAGGCAGCAGUAGGGAAUCUUCCACAAUGGACGAAAGUCUGAUGGAGCAACGCCGCGUGAGUGAAGAAGGGUUUCGGCUCGUAAAACUCUGUUGUUAAAGAAGAACAUAUCUGAGAGUAACUGUUCAGGUAUUGACGGUAUUUAACCAGAAAGCCACGGCUAACUACGUGCCAGCAGCCGCGGUAAUACGUAGGUGGCAAGCGUUGUCCGGAUUUAUUGGGCGUAAAGCGAGCGCAGGCGGUUUUUUAAGUCUGAUGUGAAAGCCUUCGGCUCAACCGAAGAAGUGCAUCGGAAACUGGGAAACUUGAGUGCA